rnacentral:rRNA from 1 species
CCUACGGGAGGCAGCAGUGGGGAAUAUUGCACAAUGGGGGAAACCCUGAUGCAGCGACGCCGCGUGGGCGAAGACGUAUUUCGGUGUGUAAAGCCCUAUCAACAGGGGAGAAGAAAUGACGGUACCUGAGUAAUAAGCACCGGCUAAAUACGUGCCAGCAGCCGCGGUAAUACGUAUGGUGCAAGCGUUAUCCGGAUUUACUGGGUGUAAAGGGAGCGCAGGGGGCAUGGCAAGACUGAUGUGAAAGCCCGCGGCCCAACCGCGGGACUGCAUUGGGAACUAGCGGGCUGGAGUGCAGGAGAGGUGGGCGGAAUUCCUAGUGUAGCGGUGAAAUGCGUAGAUAUUAGGAGGAACACCAGUGGCGAAGGCG